rnacentral:rRNA from 1 species
AGGACGAACGCUGGCGGCGUGCUUAACACAUGCAAGUCGAGCGGAAAGGCCCUUCGGGGUACUCGAGCGGCGAACGGGUGAGUAACACGUGAGCAACCUGCCCUUAGCUUCGGGAUAGCUCCGGGAAACCGGAAUUAAUACCGGAUAUGACUAUGGCCGACAUCAGCCAUGGUGGAAAGUUUUUCGGCUAGGGAUGGACUCGCGGCCUAUCAGCUAGUUGGUGAGGUAACGGCUCACCAAGGCGACGACGGGUAGCCGGCCUGAGAGGGCGACCGGCCACACUGGGACUGAGACACGGCCCAGACUCCUACGGGAGGCAGCAGUGGGGAAUAUUGCGCAAUGGGCGAAAAGCCUGACGCAGCGACGCCGCGUGGGGGAUGGAAUGCCUUCGGGUUGUAAACCCUUUCAGCAGGACGAAGCGAAAGUGACGGUACCUGCAGAAGAAGCGCCGGCUAACUACGUGCCAGCAGCCGC